GCAGGUGUAGCUCAGCUGGAUAGAGCACCGGUCUUCGGAACCGGGUGUCAUAGGUUCGAAUCCUAUCACCUGUACCA
rnacentral:tRNA from 1 species